UUAAAAUAUAUAUUUCUUAAUUUAAAAAAUAUUUUCAAGUAACAUUUUAGUAAAAAUCAAAAUUAAGUAAGUUCUUGAUUAUUAAUAGUGACAUGAAGUCAUCCAGCCAAUCGCAAGCCAAGGUCAAGUUGAGUUUAUCUGUGAAUUCUUGUGUCUAUGAGCACGACCAAAUAUAUACUUGAAGGAAAUGAGAAAUAAUACUCAGGAUUUGCAAAUUUUACGAUUGAUAACAUACUUUAAAAUAAUUUAUUUCUAGAAAUUAAAAACAUUUAAUGAGAGAUAAUGUUGGAAAACAUUUUCAUCAUUUAAUUCUUCAUGAAUAUUUGCACUAACAAUAAGUGAAUAUAGGGCACUAUAUUUUUUUCGCAAAGUAAAACAUAAUUGCAGAAUAUGUUAUUAUUAUUUUUAUUUUUAUGGAGCUAGAUUUCCGUAGAAAUGCAAAAUUAUAGAACACUCUUUGUGAUACAGACUUGGAUUGAUGGCAUUCUUUAUGCAUUGCAUCUUCGAUUUAAUUGAUUUGUGUUUGAAAUUUCUUUUUAUUUGUUAUUUAUUAGAAAAUUGUAUAAUAAUCGAUAUUGGGAAAGAGAGGGGAGGAAAAGUAUAAACUUGUGUCCUUACAUUGAGCACUAUCCGUGUUAAAGACGGUCCUGAUUAUACUUGAUUACUAGAAACCAAUCGGAGACGAAUUGAUGCGAAUGUCUAUUGAUUUCGAUGUUACAUUAGAAUCCGGUUAUUGGAUUAAGAGUAAACGAAUUUACUCUAACAGUACCAAUAAUCUAGUGGAUGACGUGUGCAAGUGUGAAUAUAAUUAAAUAUUAAAGAAACAUUAAUCAAUCGGAAUAGUGAAAACUUUAUAUUAUGACGAAAUAUUGGAUUUUCAAAUCGAAGUAAACCGACGAAAAAAUCGAUUGUCACGCAACUCGCGGAAGUGUGUCGUUUCUCCCACCACCGUUCCUGCUAUUGGCUGCCCGAGCAAAAAGGGAGGGGUUGUUCAUCACCGCUCAAUAAAAUAAAUUCAUGAAGAAACUGAGAUUGCUGAAAAAUCUCACAAAUACCAAAACUGUGUUAAAUAUUGAACAAUUGAUCGCAAGUUGAAUCUGAUCUGGUUUACAUCUGAUGUAAAUGAAAAAUAUACACACGAUGGGACUGAAUAUAUGUGAUGUAUAUUAUAACGCCAAAAAUGUGCAAUAAAAUGAUAAAUAUUGACUUGUGACGUUAAAUUUAUAUUCGAAGAAGAAUACGAUUCAAUUUCAAAUAUGAUAAAUCAUGUAAGUGCUGGAAAUUAAGCAAACUCGUAUCACGUGAUAGAAAAAAAAGGAAUGUAAUUGCAAAUCAUUAUUUUGCUGAUAUCAAUAUUUUUGUGAUUUUUCUACAAGAUACAAAAACAAAUAUGAUGACAAAACUUGCGGAUAAUCGCCGCUAUAGUUGAUCCGCACUGGUUAAAAAUAAGAUUUUCGUUAUUGCGCAGCGAAUCGCGAAUCACGUUGCGCAGUACUGGGCAACACGGUUCGUGCAGGUUCGGCCAUCCUCGGAAUGAGUCUCGGGGCCUAAGUACAGUGUGCUGCACGCUCGAUGCGUAAACUUGUCAUUGACGUCGCGGCCAGUUCGCGCGGUUUCUUUAAUUCGCAUCCGCGUACCAGCGAAUGACGGUAGCGGUAUGUCUGUGAAGUCCGUAAUCGUUCGGUUUUUGUGCUAAACUGCUAGAUUAAAGGUGCGAUUGUUCGCUCUAUCGCAUCCGUCUCGUGUCGAAUGAACAUCUCGAUGGAGCGUUACAUUCCUCGCGACCAUCUCGUUCGUGCAUUCUCUUUUCCUCGCUUUUUUUUAUUCUCCUAAAUUUUAACACCAACGUGAAAUAAUCACUUUUAACCGAUCCACUUAUAAGAUUGGGAAACGUUUAAUUGACUAGUUAAACGGGACUGUUGUGACGUCCAAUUUGAUAAUGGAGAAUACGCAAGCUGAGACAGCAUGUAAUUCAAAAGAUAGCCCUACGAUCUCCACUCUUAACAGAACUGACAUUAGUGAACUGUCGAAAGAAAAAGAGGAUGAAUUAUUGUUUGGCGGAGAGGAGGAAGGUGAUGAUGAAGAUGCGUUGUCUGAUGAUAGCUUGCGCUUAAGAUUAUCUGAUGAUGAGGAUGCUGAGCAAGAAGAUAUUACAACAAGCAUAAAUAUUUCAGAAUUUAAGUCGCAAGAUAAAACAGCUGAACAAUCAUCUGCAGAUGGAGAUAAGAAGAAAGAAGAAGAACAACGUCUAAAAGAAAAUCUGGAAGAAAUUACAAAGAUUGACGUCGAAGAAUCGGUGCAAAAGAAGUGUAAAGCAGCUAUUAAGGCCCCGGAAAAUUCAGCGUUACCCUCAGAUGAAUAUACACCAGAAACUAAACUAAUAGAAAAUAAUAUACAAAAUUCCGAAAUUAACAAUAUGACUGCUACCGAAUCUAGUGAGAAGUGUAGUUCUAAAUCUAGUAAAGAAUUAAACAUUACAGAAAUAGUCAGUGCAAAUGCUGAGAAAGAUAUAAGCUCACAAAAUGAUAACUUGUGUAUAAAUAUACUGGAAAAUGAUCUAUGCAAUACAGAACAAGCAAAUUGCAUUGAAAAUGAUAUAAAAGAAGUAAAUGAUGAUUGUAAAGAAGCAAAUUCCACAAAUAAUUGCAUAGAAAAUAAGUCGGACAAUGUAAACAGUAAUAAUCCCGUUCCGGAUUCUAUUAAAGAUAAGAUUUGUAAUAGCGAAAACUUAAUCAUUGUUACAACUGAUUCUAACGGUAAUGACGAUAAUUUAAUUGAGAAAGUAGUCAAUAAGACUACUGCAAAUGAUCACUCUGUAGAACACUCGAGCAUUACUAAAAUUAAUAAUAAACAAGACUCUGUGGAUUUAGUUAAACCGAAUAAUAUUAAUGAUUCAUCAAAUCUGCAAGACCCUAUUGAACAUGUGAAAAAUAAAAAUGGAAAUCAAGAAGAUAAACAUGUACCACAAAACAAAGAUACGUCAGAGGCAAAGUCCAUGCAAAAAGAAACGAGUACUUCAUUAAUGCAAAAUCAAAAUUCGUUCAAUGUAAAAGGCAUAAGAGAAUUAAUGAGCGAAGAUCGUGAUAAUAAUUCUGUAAUCGAAAUAAUAGAUGAUAACACACCCUCUAUAUUACAAGCCAUGUUAUUAAGUACUGAAAAAUCUGAUACUAAAAAUAAUCUUAAUAAUGAGAAUAAAAUUAAAAAUGAGAAUCAGACAAGUGCUGAUACGAUCGUCCCAAGAAGGAGACGAUCAAAAAGAAUUUGUGUGACACAACACUAUGCUGAAGAUAUAGAUGAAGAAGUUAAACAAGUUACAGACGGAAGAGAAAGCGGGCGGCAGAAACGAAGAACUGCUAGAAAUGCAGAAGAGAUAAUCAGAAAAAAUCUUAAUCUUAAUAGUGACAGCGAUUUUAGUGAUAGUACAGAAGAGCUUGUAACGGUGAAUCACAAAUUAAAUCAGGACGCACAUUCUUCCUCAUUAAAACGUAAUUGUCAGGACAAUGAGAUAUGUAACGGCAGUGUUAAAAAAAUGAAAAUGGAUAUCAAUUCCAAAGAAAAUAGAAACAAUGAUAUUCGGAAGCUAGCCUUCAUCGAAAAGUUUUUCCAAAGAAAUAUCAAGGAGAAACUACCGAAACUUACGCAGGAGGAACUUGAGGAACUCUUAAUUCAAAAGAUUGUUGAAACAAUCACAAUGCGUAGUGAAAUCGGACAACUUAGAGAACAAGCUCGUAUAUCCGAGAGAAAUCAAGAGAUAACGCGUGUAAAGCUACAGCAAUUGAUGAAACAAGUGAAGGAUUUCGAAAUGGUUUUGAAUCGUAAUGCGAUAGACCGCCGCACAAAUUCUGAUAAACUUGUUGCGCCUAUAAAAAUCAAUAGAUCCGUUGGUUUACAAGUAAACUUCAUAGCGGAACAUGGAAUACAGAAUUUACGGCAGGUACAACAAACGUCAUACGUUAAGUCUACAAACGUCCCUACCAGUGCUAGUACUUCACUUCCUGAAUCGAGUAGCAGCGCAACUAGCCCAAGACGCGGUGGGAUCAAGGUAAGAUCGCCCCGGCCUGUGGUGACCGUGUCUGCUCCCACCAUUUCGCAAAGUCCCAUGCAAACGGCGCCUAUUACCGUCACGCCGGCAGCUUUAGUAGUUGCCAAACCUUUGGACUCGCAACACACGUUGACAAUAACUAGUCAACCUACCGGUGUUCAGCCAAUUUUGCCUGCUCCAUCGCAGCCUACUCUUCAGCCUAUUGUUAUAAACGGCAAAAUUCCAAAUCAAGUUAAUCGCCAAGCUGCGACGCUGAUGACACCUAAGUCAAGAAAGAGCGACCUUAUUGAUCUCACAGAUGAAGAGGAAAAGAGUAAAUCAGCAAACGUUACUACAACUCCUGUACUGGAGCAGCAAGUAAAUGUAACGUCGAAGCCCGCGCAAACCUUCCAAAGGGUGAUACAAACGAUACCGACAAACGUGACGAUUGCGACACAACAAACUGGUAUAAAAGUGAUAUCUUCUAACCAACCAGCACCAACUGCCAUUGUAAAUAAUAUAAAUCCAUCCAGACUCACAUAUGUGAUGCAAGGUACUGUAGGUUCACCGAGACAAGUACUGAUAACGUCAAACACCAAUCCGCAGGUACAUUGAUACGACCAGUGACUUCAGUGACUAAUAGGCCACCCUUUCCGACUGUUACGUAUAAGACAGGAAUCUCAACAAUCGCGAAUGGCACUGUGCGCGUACUGACCACGCCGGCGUCAAGCAUACAGAUAAACAAG
rnacentral:misc_RNA from 1 species